rnacentral:tRNA from 1 species
AGCCUUGAGGUGUAUGACAUACUUGAUUGCAAAUCUUGAGUAGCAGACUAACGUCUGCCGGGGCUU